rnacentral:rRNA from 1 species
CGGGACGGGUGAGUAAUGUAUGGGGAUCUGCCUGAUGGCGGGGGAUAACUACUGGAAACGGUAGCUAAUACCGCAUAAUGUCUACGGACCAAAGCGGGGGACCUCCGGGCCUCGCGCCAUCAGAUGAACCCACAUGGGAUUAGCUUGUAGGUAAGGUAACGGCUUACCUAGGCGACGAUCCCUAGCUGGUCUGAGAGGAUGAUCAGCCACACUGGGACUGAGACACGGCCCAG